rnacentral:hammerhead_ribozyme from 1 species
AUCCAUCUGAUGAGUCCCAAAUAGGACGAAACGCGCGUCGUGGAU